UACGUAGGUGACAAGCGUUGUCCGGAUUUACUGGGCGUAAAGCGCGUGUAGGCGGCUUUGCAAGUCGGGUGUGAAAGCCCUCAGCUCAACUGAGGAAGUGCGCCCGAAACUGCAGAGCUUGAGUGCCGGAGAGGGUGGCGGAAUUCCCCAAGUAGAGGUGAAAUUCGUAGAUAUGGGGAGGAACACCGGUGGCGAAGGCGGCCACCUGGACGGUAACUGACGCUGAGACGCGAAAGCGUGGGGAGCAAACAGG
rnacentral:rRNA from 1 species